CAGUAGCCGCGGUAAUACGAAGGGUGCAAGCGUUAAUCGGAAUUACUGGGCGUAAAGCGUGCGUAGGCGGUGAGUUAAGUCUGCUGUGAAAUCCCCGGGCUCAACCUGGGAAUUGCAGUGGAUACUGGGUCACUAGAGUGUGGUAGAGGAUAGUGGAAUUUCGGGUGUAGCAGUGAAAUGCGUAGAGAUCGGAAGGAACAUCUGUGGCGAAGGCGACUAUCUGGGCCAACACUGACACUGAGGCACGAAAGCGUGGGGAGCAAACAGGAUUAGAUACCCGCGUAGUCCCUGUCUCUUAUAC
rnacentral:rRNA from 1 species